GUGGGGAAUCUUCCGCAAUGGGCGAAAGCCUGACGGAGCAACGCCGCGUGAGUGAAGACGGCCUUCGGGUUGUAAAGCUCUGUUAUAUGGGACGAACGGGUGUAUGGUCAAUACCCAUACGCCGUGACGGUACCGUAAGAGAAAGCCACGGCUAACUACGUGCCAGCAGCCGCGGUAAUACGUAGGUGGCAAGCGUUGUCCGGAAUCAUUGGGCGUAAAGGGCGCGCAGGCGGUUCGGUAAGUCGGUCGUAAAAGUGCGGGGCUUAACCCCGUGAUGGGAUUGAAACUGCCGGACUGGAGUGUCGGAGAGGAAAGCAGAAUUCCUAGUGUAGCGGUGAAAUGCGUAGAUAUUAGGAGGAAUACCAGUGGCGAAAGCGGCUUUCUGGACGACAACUGACGCUGAGGCGCGAAAGCCAGGGGAGCAAACGGGAUUAGAAACCCUUGUAGUCC
rnacentral:rRNA from 1 species